UACGACUACAUAUCAGGCAUAUCAAUAAGCGGAGGAAAAGAAACUAACAAGGAUUCCCUUAGUAACGGCGAGUGAAGCGGGAAGAGCUCAAAUCUGAAAUCUUCAAGGUUCUGACCUUGACGAAUUGUAGUUUAAAGAAGUGUUUUCGGUUAGAGGAGUAGGUCAAAAGUUCCUUGGAAUGGGACAUCAUAGAGGGUGAGAAUCCCGUAUUUGGUUAUUCUUUCUAGCUUUGUGAUACACUUUCAAAGAGUCGGAUUGUUUGGGAAUGCAGUCCAAAAUGGGUGGUAAAUUUCAUCUAAAGCUAAAUAUUGGCGAGAGACCGAUAGCGAACAAGUACCGUGAGGGAAAGAUGAAAAGAACUUUGAAAAGAGAGUUAAACAGUACGUGAAAUUGUCAAAAGGGAAGCGUUUGACACCAGUGUUGUUUAGUUGAAAAUCAAUUCAAUAGUUUUUGAUUCUAAGUAGUAUUGACUUCAUCAGCUUGCUGCUUUCUUCUCAGAAAUUAUUGAAUGCACUUUUCAGUUAACAAGUCAACAUCAAUUUCUUUUGUUGUAAAAGGGUAAGAGGAAGGUGGCUUGCGCUUCGGCUCAAGUGUUUAUAGGCCUUUUAUCUCUGCAAUCGGAGAGAUUGAGGUCUGCAGCGUAGAUCCUUCGGGGUUAGAUACAUUGGUGCUAAGCUAUAGCCUUGUAUAGACAACUUGUUGACUAUGCUCAGUCAUGUAGCUUACUCGCUGAUGCUAUUUUACCUACGCUUAGGAUGUUGAUCUACAGAGCGAGAGU
rnacentral:rRNA from 1 species